ensembl:lncRNA
GUGGAAUCUGGCAGACGGAGGGGCUCCGGGACAACAGCAGUAGUUAGUGUCUCGUGUCAGGAUCAGCAGCAGAGAGCUACGGACACACUUUCUGAAUAUAUUAUCUUGUUAUUUAUAACGAUACACUGCCGCGCUGUUGAAUAGUUUAUGUCAUAGUUUUAACGUUCAGAAAUAGCGACGAGGCGUGGAUAUUAGGGCAGCGUUUGAAAAGAAAGAAAGAAAGAACGAACGAAAGAGGGGAAAAGACUGACCGCUGGAUUUAAUUUCCAACUGGAAUGCUGUUGUUGAUAGAGAGAGAACGGGCGGUGUGUGUGUGUGUGUGUGUGUGUGUGUGUGUGUGUGUGGUGUGUGUGUGUGUGUGUGUGUGUGUGUGUGUGUGUGUGUGUGUGUGUGUGUGUGUGUGUGUGUGUGUGUGAAAGAGUGUGUGUUUGUGUGUGUGUGUGAAAGAGUGUGUGUUUGCGAGGUAAGUGUGUAGCGGGCUAUGCCUCGUCUCUUUGGUCUCUGGUCCUGGAUCGUGUGAAUUCCCCGGGCUCCAGUUACUAAACUACCCGGCAGACAGCAGCCUCAGCCCGGCCACAGGGAGGGGAACACUAGCUCAUGUAGUCUCUGUUAUUUCUCCUCUUUCUCCUCUCCCCCAUACCCCUCCAUACCCCUCUCUCCGGGCUCAGAGGAAAUGAGGACACAGUGGAUAGCGGAGGAACGAGGAGGAGUUUCAGGUGGGAUUAUAAACUUGUUUUGACUUUUGCCUUGAUCCUGGGGACUUCAGCGUUUUUGGCGGUAGGUUAAAUAAUUAACGCUAACCUUAAAAAAACAAAAAACAAACUACGGAUAAAAGAGGGAAUAUGACCGGUUGUUAAUGAUGACUGCUAACCUCGCGGAGACCGAGUUAACUGCUUUUCGUGACUGAUGUGGGUGGCGCGGCGUGCCGACACUGGACCUAGCUGACACCCCACCGGGACAGAGGUUCUGAUCGGUGAUCAAUAAUCCAGGAGAGUAACGGGAGUACCUGGCCGGUAUGGAGCGGCGCGGGGGCAGUUGGAGCACCGUGACCGUGUUGUGGCUCGUGCUGAUCGAGCUGGUUCUGUCACCUUGUAUGGCAGAGGAAGCUUCCGUCCCUUUCCUCGCUCCUCCCUGGGCUCGAACCAGGAACACAACGACAACAGCCACCCUCGAAGCAGCGUUAC